rnacentral:rRNA from 1 species
UAACGCGUGGGUAACCUGCCCUUUUGUNNNGAACAACUUCGAGAAAUCGGAGCUAAUACCGCAUAAUAAUAGAGGAUCGCAUGAUUCUUUAAGGAAAGAUGGCCUCUGAANAUGCUAUCGCAAAAGGAUGGACCCGCGUCUGAUUAGCUAGUUGGAAGGGUAACGGCCUACCAAGGCAACGAUCAGUANCCGGNCUGAGAGGGUGAACGGCCACAUUGGGACUGANACACGGCCCAAACUCCUACNGGAGGNAGCAGUGGGGAAUCUUCCGCAAUGGGCGAAAGCCUGACGGAGCANUGCCGCGUGAGUGAAGAAGGCCUUCGGGUUGUAAAACUCUGUCCUUNUCNAANAGAGGUAGGUAUGNGAAUAAUGNACCUAUAGGACGGUAGAUAANGAGGAAGCCCCGGCUNACUACGUGCCAGCAGNCGCGGUAAUACUUAGGGGGCGAGCGUUGUCNGGAAUCACUGGGCGUAAAGGGCGCGUAGGCGGUUUAAUAAGUCAGUGNUGAAAACUGAGGGCUCAANCCUCAGCCUGCCACUGAUACUGUUAGNCUUNGAGUNUGGAAGAGGAGAAUGGAAUUNCUANUGUANCGNNGAAAUGCGUAGAUNUUAGGAGGAACACCA